AGCUUCAUUUUCUGGAAAAAGCUCUUAAAAUCUUGAAUUUCCUUCAAAUUUUUUGUUGUGCAACUCUGUACUGUCGAAAAUUAUUUUUAAAUCAAGAAAAUUAUGUAUUAUUUUCCUCUCUUCUCCAGUGAUACAAAAAAACUUUUGAUUUGAUGAAAACUUUUGAUUUGAUGAAAAAGAUUCUAAAUUUAUAGUGAAAAUUUUGAUAAAAUGGAAAAACAAAUGUGCUUUCAAUGUUUACAACGCAGAAUUGAAUUGGAUUUCUCUGUUCAGUUCAUAUUCUGUUAUGGUCUUUCUGAUUCUCCUCUUCCAUUUGGUUCUACUGCUGUUGUUCAGGUACACUUUACUUUAAAAGGGAAAAUAAGCAAGCUUUUUUGUAAUUUGUGUAGCAAGAUAAUUUAUCCGGGGAAUUUUAGUAUCUCAUUUGGUUGGUUAUGCUUGGUUGGUUACACGAAUAUUUGCCUAACUAAAAGCUGAAAAAAGAAAAACACACAAUCUCUUUUGUAAUUUGUGUAGCAAGAUUAGUUAUACUGGGAAUUUUAGUAUCUCAUUUGGUUGGUUACGCGAAUAUUGCCUAACUAAAAGGUGAAAAAAGAAAAAAAAAUACCUUUUGUAAUUUGUGUAGCAAGAUUAGUUACACAAUGAAUUUUAGUAGCUCAAUUGGUUGGUUACGCCAAUUUUUGCCUAACUAAAAGGUGGAAAAAAGAAAAAAGAAACAAUCUCUUUUGUAAUUUGUGUAGCAAGAAGAGUUCUUUGGGUGUUCACUGGUAGUAUGAGUUAAAAAAAAGUACCUUUUGUAAUUUUUGUAGCAAGAAGGAUUCAUUAGGUGUUUACUGAUAGUAUGAGGGACGAAAAAAAAACUUUUGUGAUUUCUAUAGCAAUAAGAAUUCUUUGGGAAAAAACAAAUAACCCCUUUUUGUAGUUUGUGUGGCAAGGAGAGUUCUUUAGAAACAAAAAAACCACUACUUUUAAAAUUUGGGUAGCAAGAAUAGUUUAUUGAUAUGAGGUAAAAAAAACUCAUUUGUAAUUUGUGUAGCAAGAAGAGUUCUUUUGAUGUUUAUGAAAAACUUGUAGAAUGAAGACCGAUAAUUUACACUUAAAUUCUCUGCCAUGGAAAUAUACAAUGAAGUUGUUAGAGACCUUCUAACCCCGGACGAUACUCCACUUAGACUCCUCAAUGAUCCAGAGGUGAAUAUAUGUUUUAAGCAUGAUCAAGUUUUGUUUGAUUCGGAGAUGAUACUUUGCAGGUAACUGCACUUUUUCAUUUGCAAAGAGGAACUGUAGUUGAAAAUUUUAAAAAAGUAACCUUGAAGGACUGGAAUCGUCUAAAAGAACCGUUGUCAGUGUGUGAAGGUAAAACUUAAAAGGCUAAUACUACUAUAUUGAUAGUGUUUCCUCCAAGUUAAUAUGAUAUAACUUCAAUUGUUACCAUUCUUGCAACUCAGACAAAAAUAGGAGAAACUGCUCUCAAUGAAGUGAGCUCAAGAUCACACCAGAUUCUGCGUUAGGUUAGUGCAUUCGUUACAAGAUGGCUUAUUAAUCAUAAUAUAUAGGAAAUAUAUCAUUUCAUUGACUCGACCAACAAAUGAUCUUUUUGUAGAUAGUUGAAAGUACUACAAAGAAAAUUGUUGUCUUACAAAAUGCAAGCACUCUAACAGCUGCAGUGACAAGUAAAAGUACCUCGGCUUAGACAUCAUCUGAAAGGAUCUUUGGAGUAGUAGUUUCUUCCCAUUAAAAUGGUGAUGGAAAAUAUUUUGUUUUCUUUCCUGCAGAAUUUUGUUGAUCUUGCAAGAAUUGAUUAUGCUUGUCAAACCUUAUCAACAAAUGUCAGAAUGAAAGAAGGCAGACACAUCAAUCGCAAUCAUUGGUUCUCUGGUCUUUCGCCAUCUACCUAAGGAACUCUUUCGGAGGAGAUGUUUACAUCAAUAUGAACCUACAAUUACAUGGUUCUAAAAGUGACUGAAAUUAUCUAAGAAGAUAGGUUUUGGAUAGUCAAUGGGCAAAAUAGCAGUGGAGUUUCAAGAGCGCUUGUAAAAGAAAGGUUCUUUAAUUUCUUUAGCUGAGUUUAACUUCAUGAUCAAGUAUCUUCAAUCCAAUACACUUAGCAUUAAUGGUUGGACACGCUAAGUUGCCAUACUUAUAUUGAAGUCACAUUUUUCAUCUUCAACUACCUAAUGCUUUCAUAUCAUAUGCCAAUAAUGGUGUAGUUACUACACUGACUAACUUGCUGAUUUCUGUGUUGGAGAUUCCAUUGAGGUGUUGAACAACUUGAGUCAGCCAAUCAGUCAUUCGAGAAAUACAUGCUUCCAUUCAUGGUUCCUUUGUUGUUAAUAUUUUUACUGGUUUACAGUUAUUCAAAUCUAUUGGUCUUUUAUUUUUCUUAGAA